rnacentral:lncRNA from 1 species
CUUAGCGCGUAUUUUUAUAGACGAUAUGUGUGUCGCACAAUGUAGAGCUAGUACACUAUCAGAGAGGGGUUUGUAUGAGGCCAAAGCAAGUCGGUUGAAAGAAGAUGGAUGGGCGUUUCUCCCCAAUCAUCUCAGGGCAUGAAUGCCCCGCCCACCCGUAGCUUGCGUCCAUCCAUCCAUGUAUAUAUAAUGUGUGCGACAGGGGGGUCCAUAUCUUCACCUGCGGCCGCUACCUUGCGAAACCCU